GACGAACGCUGGCGGCGUGCCUAAUACAUGCAAGUUGAGCGAUGAAGAUUGGUGCUUGCACCAAUUUGAAGAGCAGCGAACGGGUGAGUAACGCGUGGGGAAUCUGCCUUUGAGCGGGGGACAACAUUUGGAAACGAAUGCUAUACCGCAUAACAAACUUAAACAUAAGGUUUAAGUUUUAAAGAUGCAAUUUCAUUAAUCAAAGAAGAUCCCGCGGUGUUUUAGCUAGGUGGUGAGGUAAAGGCUCACCAAGGCGAUGAUACAUAGCCGACCUGAGAGGGUGAUCGGCCACAUUGGGACUGAGACACGGCCCAAACUCCUACGGGAGGCAGCAGUAGGGAAUCUUCGGCAACAGACGAAAGUCUGACCGAGCAACGCCGCGUGAGUGAAGAAGGUUUUCGGAUCGUAAAACUCUGUUGGUAGAGAAGAACGUUGGUGAGAGUGGAAAGCUCAUCAAGUGACGGUAACUACCCAGAAAGGGACGGCUAACUACGUG
rnacentral:rRNA from 1 species